GUGUCUGAGCCAGCUAUCUAAUGUUAGCAUGCUACUACUACCCACAGGGUGUCUGAGCCAGCUAUCUAAUGUCAGCAUGCUACUAACCUACAAGGUAAACAGCAUGGGUUGGACCAAUCACAGCCCUUCGGUCUCCGUGGGUUGGACCAAUCACAGCCCUUCGGUCUCCGUGGGUUGGACCAAUCACAGCCCUUCGGUCCCCGUGGGUUGGACCAAUCACAGCCCUUCGGUCCCCGUGGGUUGGACCAAUCACAGCCCUUCGGUCCCCGUGGGUUGGACCAAUCACAGCCCUUCGGUCUCCG
ensembl:lncRNA